UAAGCAUAUCAAUAAGCGGAGGAAAAGAAACUAACAAGGAUUCCCCUAGUAACUGCGAGUGAAGCGGGAAAAGCUCAAAUUUAAAAUCCUUCGGGAGUUGUAAUCUAGAGAAGUGUUUUCGGCCGUUGUCUCGAACAAGUUCCUUGGAACAGGACGUCAUAGAGGGUGAGAAUCCCGUACUUGUCGAACCAGCAACGUCUAUGUGAUGCACUUUCAAAGAGUCGAGUUGUUUGGGAAUGCAGCUCAAAACGGGUGGUAAACUCCAUCUAAAGCUAAAUAUUGGCGAGAGACCGAUAGCGAACAAGUACCGUGAGGGAAAGAUGAAAAGCACUUUGGAAAGAGAGUUAAACAGUACGUGAAAUUGCUAAAAGGGAAACGCUUGAAGUCAGUCGCGUCAUGGAGACUCAGCCUCACGGUGCAUUUCUCCAGGACGGGCCAGCAUCAGUUUUGGCCGCGGGAAAAGAGCUUGAGGAAUGUGGCAGCCUCGGCUGUGUUAUAGCCUCUUGUUGUACACCGCGGUUGGGACUGAGGACUUAUAGGAUGCUGGCGUAAUGGCUUUAAGCGACCCGUCUUGAAACACGGACCAAGGAGUCUAACAUGUCUGCGAGUGUUUGGGUGUCAAACCCAUACGCGCAAUGAAAGUAAACGUAGGUCGGAGGCUUUGGCCGCACGAUCGACCGAUCCGGAUCUUUAGUGAUGGAUUUGAGUAAGAGCAUAUAUGUUGGGACCCGAAAGAUGGUGAACUAUGCCUGAAUAGGGCGAAGCCAGAGGAAACUCUGGUGGAGGCUCGUAGCGAUUCUGACGUGCAAAUCGAUCGUCAAAUUUGGGUAUAGGGGCGAAAGACUAAUCGAACCAUCUAGUA
rnacentral:rRNA from 1 species